UGUGACCUAAGAACACAGAUGAUGCAAACAAUUGGGGACUUUCUAUAGAUAGAGAUGGUAUGUUGUUUGAGUGACUGAUCUUUAAUUGUUUUGAGCUCUAUUUUAUUGCUAUGAGUCUUUAAAUUGCUUUUGAAUGAUGAAGUUUGAACUUCACUGGAAAUUUGUGACUCAAUUCAAUUGCUACAGACCCAUUAAAGAGAAAAGAUUAAUUGUUAAAAAUCGGUGUAUUUUGUGCAAGGCUGAUGUCCAAGCUGGAAAUAAACUGCUGGUAUGGUAAUAAAGCAUCCGUUAAAUAUACAUAUUCCUAUACAUACGUGUACACAUCACACUGCUUUCCUAAUCAAAAGUGGCUUAUUUCAGACUAAGUGGUUAGCAUUUCCAAGUUAGCAGGGUAUUCUGCAGGAAAUUGCAUAUAUGUUGGGAUUAUGCAGUCAUUACAGAUUCUUACUUUAUUUGAUUGCUGCAACGAAUUAUUUAUGAUGAAAAAUUAUCAUGUUUAAUAUGAUGCUUACUUUCAUUUAUAUGUCAGUCUUAGACGCGGAAAUUGAUUAUGUGAGAGUGUUGAAUCGAGUCUUACCCAAAGAUAUCCGAGUAACUGGCUGGUGUCCUGUUCCAAUUGAUUUUAGUGCAAGGUUGUUUUCCUUCUCAUGGUGUACUUUAUUUUGAUUCGAUAUGAUGGGAUUCUGUUGAUGAAAUGCGUUAGAGAUGCCUCCAAUUUGUUGAUUUUAUAAUGUUAAUGAUUGCGGAAACGUAGGUGGGGUUUGCCUUUUCACAUGAUUCUGUCUUCCUCAAUAUCUUGCAGGUUUAGCUGUGUGAGCAGGGAGUACAAAUAUUUCUUUUGGAGAGAUAAUUUGGAUAUUAGGGCAAUGGAGAGUGCAGGCCAAAAGUUUGUGGGGGAUCAUGAUUUCAGAAAUUUUUGUAAGAUGGAUGCAUUUAAUGUCCACAACUACAAGCGUCAUAUAACAUCCUUUGAACUCUCUUCUUGUGAUAAGAGGUUGAUCGGGUUUUGGGCUGUCGUGUUAGAGAGAAGCAGGACAGACAUCGACAUAGUACUUCUGGCGAAAUCAACUUAGAUGCAGGAGACAGGGCUGGACUUGCUGAUGACAGACAAGCUGAUAUAAGCAUUGACAGUGAUAUCAAAUUGCACAAUCUGAAUGUUUUUCAGUGGUUAUUCUCUCAUUGGCUGGAAUUUUAAUGGUAAAGCUGGAGGAAGAGUCGAAAACUGUAAAACUUGGUUGACAACAUUUCAUCUUUCUUCUAUUGAGGUUGAAAGACGUGAUUUGAGCAGGAGGUGCCCCAUAUCCAUUGCAGCAGCUGCUCUCUGAUGAGAAGAAGUCUCCCCAAGAUAUAUCACUUGCUACUAGAGUCACAGGGGAUGAUUAGGAACUCCUCCAAGGAUCUAUAUCCUCACAUUUCGAAGAUAAAUACCAAGCUGGUAUGGCAAGGAAGAGGAUCUAAAGAAUUUCUGCAGCUUUUGAGUGUGUGCAGAUAUACAAACAAAAUCGACAUUAGUUAACUUUAAGUUAGUUUUGGAAAUCAGAACAAUCUUGAAUUUUUAGUUCUUGUUAUAAAGAAUAUGGUUGUUCUUAAUUCUCACUCUUUAUAUUGUUGGAAGAUAUCUUGAAAACUUUGUUAUUCAAACAUCGAAAUGCUGUGUUCGAGUU